CCAGACUCCUACGGGAGGCAGCAGUGGGGAAUAUUGCACAAUGGGGGAAACCCUGAUGCAGCGACGCCGCGUGAGUGAAGAAGUAUUUCGGUAUGUAAAGCUCUAUCAGCAGGGAAGAAAAUGACGGUACCUGACUAAGAAGCCCCGGCUGACUACGUGCCAGCAGCCGCGGUAAUACGUAGGGGGCAAGCGUUAUCCGGAUUUACUGGGUGUAAAGGGAGCGUAGACGGCGGAACAAGUCAGAAGUGAAAACCCGGGGCUCAACCCUGGGAGUGCUUUUGAAACUGUUUGGCUGGAGUGCAGGAGAGGUAAGCGGAAUUCCUAGUGUAGCGGUGAAAUGCGUAGAUAUUAGGAGGAACACCAGUGGCGAAGGCGGCUUACUGGACUGUAACUGACGUUGAGGCUCGAAAGCGUGGGGAGCAAACAGGAUUAGAUACCCGCGUACA
rnacentral:rRNA from 1 species